UACGAAGGGGGGCUAGCGUUGUUCGGAAUUACUGGGCGUAAAGCGCACGUAGGCGGAUAUUUAAGUCAGGGGUGAAAUCCCAGAGCUCAACUCUGGAACUGCCUUUGAUACUGGGUAUCUUGAGUAUGGAAGAGGUAAGUGGAAUUGCGAGUGUAGAGGUGAAAUUCGUAGAUAUUCGCAGGAACACCAGUGGCGAAGGCGGCUUACUGGUCCAUAACUGACGCUGAGG
rnacentral:rRNA from 1 species